CCUACGGGAGGCAGCAGUGAGGAAUCUUGCGCAAUGGGGGAAACCCUGACGCAGCGACGGCGCGUGAGGGAUGAAGGCCUUCGGGUCAUAAACCUCUGUCAGGGGGGAAGAAAUUUUCUCCCGCGAAUAGGGGGGGAAAUUGACGGUACCCCCGAAGGAAGCACCGGCUAACUCCGUGCCAGCAGCCGCGGUAAGACGGAGGGUGCAAGCGUUGCUCGGAAUCACUGGGCGUAAAGAGCGUGUAGGCGGCUUCUUAAGUCGGAUGGAAAAGCCCUCGGCUCAACCGAGGAAGGGCAUCUGAAACUAAGGGGCUAGAGUACGGGAGAGGGAGGUGGAAUUCCCGGUGUAGAGGUGAAAUUCGUAGAUAUCGGGAGGAACACCGGUGGCGAAGGCGGCCUCCUGGACCGAUACUGACGCUGAAGCGCGAAAGCGUGGGGAGCGAACGGGAUUAGAUCCCCUUGUAGU
rnacentral:rRNA from 1 species